GGUUAGACGAAGAAUCUAAAUGGAAUAGUUUAUUGUUUUAACUAACAGUAAAUAUUUUUGAGUAAAUCUAUUUCUUUUUUUAGGUGAAAUUUAUAUAAAUAAACAAAAAAUCUUAUUCUAUUUAUAGGAGUUAAUAAGUGGAGGUAUGAAACCAGGAUUAGAUACCCUGUUAUCCUUUAUAAUACAUAAUGGGGUAGUAAAAGUUAUUCUUCAAACCCAAAGAUUUUGGCGGCAUUCUAACCAAACAGAGGAGCUUGUCUUAUAAUCGAUAAUCCCCGUUUUAUCUUACCUUUACUUGUUUAGCUUGUAUACCUCCGUUGCUAGAUUACUCUAAAAGGAUGUUUUCUGUAAAAAUUAUUUUCUCACUUCAGGUCAAGGUGCAGUUUAUGUAAAGGAAACGAUGAGCUACAAUUUUUAUUUAAAAAAACGGAUUUUAGUUUAAAAUCUGAUUGAAGGUGGAUUUGUUAGUAAACCCUUUUAAGAAAAAAAGGUUGAAUUAGGUAAUAGAAUGUGCACAUAUCGCCCGUCACUCUCCUUCUAAGAGGAGAUAAGUCGUAACAAA
rnacentral:rRNA from 1 species